AGUGAACGCUGGCGGUAGGCCUAACACAUGCAAGUCGAACGGCAGCACAGUAAGAGCUUGCUCUUACGGGUGGCGAGUGGCGGACGGGUGAGGAAUACAUCGGAAUCUACUUUUUCGUGGGGGAUAACGUAGGGAAACUUACGCUAAUACCGCAUACGACCUACGGGUGAAAGCAGGGGAUCUUCGGACCUUGCGCGAUUGAAUGAGCCGAUGUCGGAUUAGCUAGUUGGCGGGGUAAAGGCCCACCAAGGCGACGAUCCGUAGCUGGUCUGAGAGGAUGAUCAGCCACACUGGAACUGAGACACGGACCAGACUCCUACGGGAGGCAGCAGUGGGGAAUAUUGGACAAUGGGCGCAAGCCUGAUCCAGCCAUACCGCGUGGGUGAAGAAGGCCUUCGGGUUGUAAAGCCCUAUUGUUGGGAAAGAAAAGCAGCAGGUUAAUACCCCGCUGUUCUGACGGUACCCAAAGAAUAAGCACCGGCUAACUUCGUG
rnacentral:rRNA from 1 species